GCUCAGGAUGAACGCKGGCGGCGUGCCUAAUACAUGCAAGUCGAGCGAACGGAUAAGGAGCUUGCUCCUUUGAAGUUAGCGGCGGACGGGUGAGUAACACGUGGGUAACCUACCUAUAAGACUGGAAUAACUUCGGGAAACCGGAGCUAAUGCCGGAUAACAUUUGGAACCGCAUGGUUCUAAAGUAAAAGAUGGUUUUGCUAUCACUUAUAGAUGGACCCGCGCCGUAUUAGCUAGUUGGUAAGGUAACGGCUUACCAAGGCAACGAUACGUAGCCGACCUGAGAGGGUGAUCGGCCACACUGGAACUGAGACACGGUCCAGACUCCUACGGGAGGCAGCAGUAGGGAAUCUUCCGCAAUGGACGAAAGUCUGACGGAGCAACGCCGCGUGAGUGAUGAAGGUUUUCGGAUCGUAAAACUCUGUUAUUAGGGAAGAACAAAUGUGUAAGUAACUGUGCACAUCUUGACGGUACCUAAUCAGAAAGCCACGGCUAACUACGUGCCAGCAGCCGCGGUAAUACGUAGG
rnacentral:rRNA from 1 species